rnacentral:piRNA from 1 species
AUAGGAGGAAUGACUGGGAUUACU